CGCCUGUUUUAUCAAAAACAUAUCCUAAAAUAUUUAACCUUAGGUAAUGCCUGCCCACUGCUUAGAGUAAAUGGCCGCAGAAAUUUAACUGUGCUAAGGUAGCACAAUCCAUAGCUUCUUAAUUAGAUGCCAGCAUGAACGGCUUAAUGAGAGUUUAUCUUUCUUCAUUAUACAAUUUUAACUUAACAGGAAAGUUAAAAGUCUUUCCAUAAUAAAAAGACGACAAGACCCUAAAAACUUAAUCUUACUCAUAUUUUCAUUAAGAACAAUAUAAAAAGAAUUUUACUGGGGCGGUAUUCUUUAUUUAGAAACAAAGAACAUAUAAACAAUAUGUAUGAAAAUUCAAAAACCAUUCUAAACUCAAACCCAAAGUUACUUUAGGGAUAACAGCGUUAUAUUAUUUUAGAGCCCUUAUCAACAAUAAAACUUACGACCUCGAUGUUGAAUUGAAAAUUCUAUUUAAAGCAGCCUUUAAAAAAGAAAGUCUGUUCGACUUUUAAAUUUUCACAUGAUCUGAGUUCAAAC
rnacentral:rRNA from 1 species